rnacentral:rRNA from 1 species
CCUACGGGCGGCAGCAGUGAGGAAUAUUGGUCAAUGGACGAGAGUCUGAACCAGCCAAGUAGCGUGAAGGAUGACUGCCCUAUGGGUUGUAAACUUCUUUUAUAUGGGAAUAAAAUGUUCCACGUGUGGGAUUUUGUAUGUACCAUAUGAAUAAGGAUCGGCUAACUCCGUGCCAGCAGCCGCAGUAAUACGGAGGAUCCGAGCGUUAGCCGGAUUUAUUGGGUUUAAAGGGAGCGUAGGUGGAUUGUUAAGUCAGUUGUGAAAGUUUGCGGCUCAACCGUAAAAUUGCAGUUGAAACUGGCAGUCUUGAGUACAGUAGAGGUGGGCGGAAUUCGUGGUGUAGCGGUGAAAUGCUUAGAUAUCACGAAGAACUCCGAUUGCGAAGGCAGUUCACUGGACUGCAACUGACACUGAGGCUCGAAAGUGUGGGUAUCAAACAGGAUUAGAUACCCGUGUAGUC